UUUGAUGCGUUUGGUUUGGCGCCCUGUCGAGAACGCGAAGUUUACGAGCUGUGAACUUACACGCGCAGUGAGCGAAGCAAGACGAGUGUUUUUUAGGUGGGAUGGGAAGAGAUUUUUUUUUUUUCCUCCUCUCUUUUUCACACAAGGUAAGUGUGGGAUCGAUCACAGGGGCCACAGUGCUUGGGCAGUUUCGAAGAAUUGACAUUGAUUAGUAGCAGCCAAACGAGACCGCCCAAAAGGAAGAAGAAGGAAGAAGAAGAAGAACACUCGCGAGAAGAGGGCUCCUCCCUCUUUGUGUGAUCUUCUUCUAUUCUAUUGGGCUCGAUCGAGUCGACGAUCGAUCCAUUGGUGGGCGAUGGCAAUGCGGGUCCCGUGAAUCGCAAAAUCCCUUGAAAGCUAGUUCUUGUUUUUGUUCGCUCCCUCUCUCCCAGCGAUCGAUCGACCCUUCUUCUCUUGGGAAUUUUGAGCGGAGGCUGGGUUCACGGGUGGGAUCAUUCAUUGGUGUUGUUUGUUCUUGUUUUCUCCCUUUGGUGCCUUUAUCUCCUCCUCGCUUUUUUUUGGAUUUCUUCCUCUUGGCGCUCUCGCGCUGCCUUUUUCCGGUUUGAAAAAAAGAGAGGAAGCGAUCGCAUUUACUCUGGGCCGGCACCCCCGAUCAUAUAGAUGCCCCACUCGGGCUCUUUGGAUCGCUCCAGUGCGCUCCAGGCUCUAGAGGGUCCCAGAGCGAUCGAUUGGAAUCUUGGUUGUCGUCGCGCUUCGAGCUAGCUAGCGAUUCCCAGGAGAGUUUGUUCUCUCUUUUCUUUCGAGAGAGGAUGGAUGAAUCCCCACGAAGACCCAAUGCGGCUAGCAGUAAGCACGCGCGGCGGCUGUUCGCAGCGAAUAGAGAAGAGAAAUCGGCGAGGAGACACAGUAGCAGCGAUGGCCAAGCUCGCAGGAAGCUACUUUUGGUAAAGACCCCUCUUUUUAUUCCAUUCCCAUUUGAGUGACAGGACCUUUUCGUUUUGUGAUCAGGGAGCUCCAGAGGAAGAAUCUCUGAAUUCUAGCUUCGAUGACGCGGCGAUCCACGGGCCCAAUGUGGUGGCGAGGCUGAUGGGCUUGGAUUCGCUGCCAGUGGGCGCCAAAAUCAAGGAUCUCUCAGCAGUAAGUAGCAGUAGUGGUAGCGAUGGUCGCUCGCCGCCAGUGAUGAUCCUCCGCGAGAAUGGAGGAGGAGGAGAGAGGCAGCAGCUCCAGCUCCAGGAGCUCCUGAGGAUCAAAGAGCCGCUGCUACUCCGCGAGCUCCUGCGAGAGGAAGAGGAUCAGUAUCGUAGCUUGGAGGAGGAUCACCAGCGGCAGAACGGGAGGAAAGGACCAUCGCUGGUGGAGAAAUUUGCAGGACUGAUGAGGAGGACUCGGGUUCCAGCGGUGGAACACGAACAGGAAGAAGAGGAGAAAUCGAAGAAGAAAAAGGAGGAGCAAAAGAGCGGUGGUAGCAAGGUCUCACCGAUCAAGAGCCCGUCAAAGAAGAAGCGUGGCCUGGUAGCGGAGGUUGCCGUGAAGAUCUUGGCGACCGAUGAUCAUCGUCCACCGCAGCACCAGAAUUUGGACACGGGCACCGCGGACAAGAAGCCCUCGAGCCGGAGGAAGUUGUCGCUAAACCGGAGCUCAUCCGAGCCAACUCUCGGCUCGUCGUCGUCGUCAACUUCCAGAAGGCUGGCCAAGAUUUCCGAGAGCAUCCGGCAAAGGUUCGGUGGUUUCAGCUCCAGCAGCGAUCGCUCGAGCUCGAACUCUUCGUCGUCAUCAUCGGUGUCAAAGUCGACGAAGAACAAGGUCAGCGAUGGUGGAAACUUGGUUCGGAGUAAGUCGGACUUGGGACUCCAGCAGCAGCACGAAGGUGGUGGAGGAUUGGGAUGGUCUGAAAUUCGGAGGCUGCACAAGCAACAAAAGCAACGAGAGUCCGAUCAGCUCAUCAUCAAGAGCAGCAAUGAAAGGGAAGAGGACCACUUACCCCAGAGAGCGUCGUUUUCUCGCACUGCAAAGUUGGUCACAAUGAAGAACUCCACCAGUAGCAGCCAUGGAAUCCUGAGCUACACCACAAACAGGCUGUUUGGGAAUCAGAGGGGAAAAGAGAAAGAAAGUAACAGGACGAGGACGAAGCGUACCAGCAGCAGCGACGGAAGUGGCAAGGAUCACAGCAGCACGAGUGCGACGAGUGGCACGGCGAGGCCGAGCAAAAGUGAGGCAUCGUCGUCUUUAAUGCGCGCAUUGCUGAGAAGAUCACGGAACAUCGGCGCUGGAACCACCAAGCAAGCUGCGCGGAGCUUUCAAUCCGUUGGGGGGAAAGCCUCUGCUUCUUCGAUGAGCUCGAGACAAGGCCGAGCUGAUGAUAUUUCUUUGUCCUCGGUGGCAUCGUCUUCUUGCGCUGGUGUUACUCCUCCCCGGUUUUGUGAGGAGCUGCUCUCGGACGAUAGUAGCAGCGUGGCUCGGUCGGAAGGAAGCGGGAGCUCUCCGACAAACUCGAAUUGCGGGAACUAUGAGUGCAGCCGGUCAUCUCGAUCGGAGGGUGGACAGCCCAGUCCAGUUUCGGUGCUCGAGCCACCGUUUGUCGACGAGAUGCACUCGUCCCCGUUGGACAGUGGUGGCGAAGACUCACCUGAUGCUAAGCUACGUACCAGUUCCACGGGCAGUGACAGCAUUCUCAGCGCCAUCCUGGACAUAUCACGAAUCCGCUGCAUCGACCUCUCUUCCAUCGGAAUAAGCGACUCCACCGCCAGUAGCAGGCACUCUUUCGAGGAAGAGGCAGCCUACAUCGACGACGUUCUUAGGACGAGUCAGCUUUUAUGUGACCAGGAGGAGAAGAUGCUGAGCUCGCCAGCAGCCGUAGCAGCAACUAGAAGGUGGCUUAGCCAAGAUAGUCCAGUCGCUUCCCGGGUUUUCAGCAUCAUAGAGACGACGAUGACUGCCAAAUCUCAUGGACGAGGCUCGCUGCAAGCUCGCAAGUUGCUCUUCGACUGCGUAGAGGAGGCAGUGAGAUCAAGAUUCGGCUGCUGUAAAAGCUGGUACUUAGGCGUAGGAUCGGUGAGGUUGGCUGGAGUCGGGAUGCCACAGGUUGGUGCAGAGGUUCAGCAACAAAUAAGUGACUGGAAGUCGAUGGAAACGCUGUCAACUGAUGAGCUCGUUGAGAAGGACAUGAGUGUUGGUGCUGGAAAGUGGAUGGAUUGGAACGGGCAAGUGAAGCUGAUUGCCGAGGACGUUGAGAGCAGCAUUCUGCGGACAAUGAUAGACGAGCUUGUCUGCGAGUGGAGUGGACCAUAACUGGUGGCUUUCAACCCUGUUCUGUGAGCGUUUAAAUCUGAAGUCAAGUCUCUAUUCUUUCUGCCAGGCAGGCUUCCAAGGCUCGAUGGUUCUGCGAGAGAAAGCCUGUGUCAUCGACAGUGCCCUGCUCCUUGCAACGCCUGUCUCGUUCCAGAAGCUCCUCGUCUCGUGACUCGGGUCCAGUUCCUCGAACAAGAGAGUAUUGUCACCAGCAAAGUUAAUGCCUCGGCGUCUCCACAAACCUCCCAUACCGCUGCCUGGAUGUCGUCUUUCGAAGGAACGUGAGAAAUCUGUUGUUUAGCAAAACCAAGACUCAUUUGUGAAGCAAAUCAAUCUCGGAAACUCAAUUUGGAUUUA